UACAGAGGUCUCAAGCGUUGUUCGGAUUCAUUGGGCGUAAAGGGCGCGUAGGCUGCGGGGCAAGUCGGGUGUGAAAUCUCAGAGCUCAACUCUGAAACUGCACUCGAUACUGCUUUGCUUGAGGACUGGAGAGGAGAUUGGAAUUCACGGUGUAGCAGUGAAAUGCGUAGAUAUCGUGAGGAAGACCAGUGGGCGAAGGCGGAUCUCUGGACAGUUCCUGACGCUGAGGCACGAAGGCCAGGGGGAGCAAAACGGG
rnacentral:rRNA from 1 species